CUGAGAGAGGGGAGACUUUCAACACUAUGAUCAAUAAUCAUCUCCCUAAUUGGGUAUUAGCAACAGGGAAGUGGACUCACCCGCCACAUAAAUAAACAAAGAAAGCCCAAAAGUAUCAACUGGACAAGACUGCCAAGAGAUAAAGAAAUUGAUGAUCAUCAGUGAGCUGGAUUCGAACAGACAGCCAGAGACGGUGAGCAAGAUCUUCUCUACUAUGCAGAAGAUCCUGUGCAUGGGAGGUCCGUUUGACUUGACAUCUAGAAGAAUGCUUUCAGCCAACAACAAACCAUCGCAGACUGUAUAAUUAAGGAGAUAGACAUCUUCCCAGCGAAAAAGGGAUGACGCUCCAAAGGAGCAGAAAUCACAAUGUUUCUGCUGUUCCAGUUUUAUCUUGAUAUUUUUCAGAUAUUUGCUUAUACCGGUAAAGGUCCACAUUCCAAUGGUUAAAGGCAGUAUCACUUCGUACCUAGCCUGAUGUCAGAUCUGUUUGUACUCUUGACAAAUCCAUUGCUCAUUGGCGUGACAAUGUGACAAGGAGUUGGCAUGACAGCACAAACAGACUAGCACUCAGGCUACUUCAUACCCAUUGUGAACCAACAGUCUUGUGUUGAUGUCAGAGUUUACAAUGCCAAGCAGCCUCACGUCUUCAGUCCACAAGGGGCAUUAUAUAAAAACUUGAAUUGUGUGUUUCCAUACUAAAUGUUCAUGGUUUUCCCAUGUGUAUUAAUGUGUAGGCCUACUGGUAAUUCUCACAAAAAUACCUGAAUGAAGAUAGCAUAUCACAGUGACCAUAGGAGCACUGUUCCUUUUUUUUCGCAAGAUAAAAAAAUUGAUUACAUUAACUUAACUUUGCGGGAGGCCUAUUCAUCAUCAUUUAAAUUGUCAAAUGUAUCUCACUUUAUCCGCCACCAAUUUAUAUCAACUACCUAGAAGUUUAUAAUUGGUUUGUUACUUUAUCUUUCCAAUUGUUAAAUUGGCCAAGUUCAGG
rnacentral:lncRNA from 1 species